AGUAGCUUUACCUGACAAGCUCCUUCGGCUACCUGCUGAAGGCUAUUUAAAACCCUCUAUAAGUAUCUCUCUUGGUUCUAAGGAGUUACUGUUCCUCUAACAACUGAUACAAAUUAACUUAACUUCUACCUUUGAUUCUUGAUUUAUUGACCUCAAGUCAAAUGGCCCAAUCGCUCUCCAGGAAGAUUUUAGAACCUCUAGGUUAAGAAAUUCGCCAACAGAGGCCUGUGUCUGCUCCUUACCUUCAAACAAAGACUUACAACAUUGAGGAAUAUGGAUGCAGUGUUGAUGCCUGCUGCUUGGAUUAAUUUAUUCCUACCUUCAGACUGUAUCCAUUAUUCUGAGGCAUUUUAUUACAGGGCCUACUUUUAGUGGAACAUGAUUGACUUAAAAUUACGGAUUUGGACAAAUGGAGAACUACGUGCACAAUUAAAAAUAUCAUAAAGACAAACAACUUUGAAAGAUUUAAGGACCAUCAACUAUGAGGAUUCUUGAUGAAACAUGUUCCCUAUCUCUUGACAGAGAGGCAAUAUAGGAUACAGUUUGAAACAUUCUUUUCAGACAUGGCCAAUAUUUUAGUAGAAUCACCUAAGAAUCUCUACAAGGGACUUGAAACCAAAGAAGCAAAGCCUUCAGAGCUGUUCUGAGAAUGAGACCUGCUCCAGAAUGUCCAAAAGAAGAUAUUUCCAAGGACCAGAUGACUACAUGGGAUAUCUAGGACUCAAGAUGAAAUGUGCUGACUAAGCAGACAUUGGGAGUAGGUUACUAGAAUUCAAGGAAACCUGAUGUUAUUUAAUAUUGAUGAUCAUUAUUAUAGCUGUUGUACUAAGCUAUGAAAGAAGGUGAUUCCUAAUGGUCUUUUCUUGGUACUAUUAACCAAAAGUCACAACUCCACAAGACAUGAGUAAUAACUUCAUUUAUUUCAAGAAAAAGGGCACAUGCAUGCGGGAACUCCUUGUACCAAGUACAAAGGAAUCCACAAGACAGGCAGACAGAGCCUUGGGUAUUUAUGGGUUACAGCAAAAAGGGAAGGUCUCAUGGGAGAAAUGGAGGGUGAUCCCCUCCCAAAUGGGAGUGGCAUGGGAGUAGGAAAGGAACACUAGGGGAGGGAUAAUAAGAGGGAGUAGGAGGGUUUGGAACUGUAGGACCAUAGAGAAUGUUCUGCUUAUCUGAAAGGGUCCCAGCUGUACAAACAGUUUAUCAGUCUGGGGUAGACUGGCUGGAGCCAGGUUUAUAGCUGAUUCAACUUUAAGGGCACACUAAGAGUUUAGUUAGGGUUGAAAGUAGCAAAUUAUGUUAGCUCAAGAGGGCUUCAUCCUGGAAAAUAUGGCAACUCAAGAAAAUAUGUUCAGGGGACCCCUCCACAGUAUGUAAUUCUGAUGAUGAACGUAUAAAAAACUAUAAAUCUGGUUUAUAGAUAAAUGAUCCAUGGAGGGAUAGGGUGGGCUUCUCCCACCAGGGAUCAAAGGGGGGAAUUGUAGGAAUUGUGUGAACUAAACUUACUCCAUCUUAUAAAACUGACUCCAUUUUGACACUGAGAUUUCAUUUUCUGCUUUACCCCUCCCAACUCUGGGAAAACCUUGAAACUCACUCUCCCCCUCAUGACUCAGAAAGCCCUAAUCAUUCCUCCAAUAAGAAGUUAGAUUACUUAAUCUUGCAUCUUGGUUUAUAUCCUGUUUAUUGUUUUCUUAUAAUGUAUAAAAUCUGUAUUCAAGGUCCAGUGCAUUCUGGGAGGGCCGAACUCCAAUGUGUUGUGCAACUGCUUACCUUGCCAAUAAAUUGAUAUGCUCAGAAGAUCAAACCUUUAUUUCCUCAGUUACUGCAAAUUUCAUUUAUGACAGACUGGAUGACUGCUAAUGUCCCUUCCAGAAGUAAAUCUAAGGCCUUAUGAUUGAAAUCAGCCCUUCUUAAACUGUGAGUAGCAACCCCAUAAGGGGUUGAGAAAAAUUUGGCAACAAUAAAACAUUUCUGAAUGUGCAAUGGCCAAAAAUUAAUUAAAAAUCCAACAUGUGAUAAAUCUGAGAUGUUUCUGGUAGCACUUGCCCAAAUGACAUCCAUAUCUUCCCUGCAGCCUUGGCUCUGAACACAAAGCAUACACACUUUGCACUGUACAUGCCCUCAGGCUAUGCAACACCAAUGCUUGUAGUUGAUUUGACUCAACAAACGAUUGUAAGAAAUGCAGUCAUUUUGCUUGUUGGUGGGAAAUAGGGCAAAGUUUACCAACUCACCUGACCCUUUCUUGAGUCUUGCUCUUGAGUUGAUAGCAACCAGGGGCACAAUGGAGUUUAGGGGAAAAAAUCCCACUUCUUUGCUAAGUGAAAUUACCAAGAUAAUUUGAAAAGGGCCACGACUACUGGCCCAUAGACAUGCUAGGAGUCAAGAGUUAUUUAGGGCCACAAUCAACUACUUGUGGCCUUACCCCAAUUUCCUCCUUUCUUCUGCACGACUUGUUCUUCUCUCUCUCAUCUUUAGUCUUUUCCUAGUUACUGGUUCCUUCCCACCCCCUACAAGAAUGUCCAGGUCUCCCUAAUCCUUACCAUCCUGUCAAGAAUGUGAUAUCUUACCUCUCAUUCCUUUCCAAACUCCUAGAAAAAAACCAACACUACAUACCAAUUUAUCAUGAUCUAUUCACUUCUCAAAUGCUUGCAAUCAAGAUUCCAACCCACAACUCAACCAAAAGUAUUCUCUCAAAGGUUACCAGUGAUCUCUUUGUUCCAUAUUUCCCUUUUUGUUUAUCUUUCUGUUAGACUUAAUCAAAACUGAUAAAGGGAUGUUGACGUGUUCUGUCACUAUUUUGUUAUCAUCUAUGUCUUCUUGAAGCUCAAAUAAUGUUUCCUUUAUGAACUUG